rnacentral:tRNA from 1 species
GGCUCAAUGGUAGAGCGCUUGCCUAGCAUGCAAGAGCACUGGGUUCAAUUCCCAA